GCCGAUGUGGCUCAGGUGGUAGAGCAAUUGAUUCGUAAUCAAUAGGUCGGGAGUUCGAGCCUCCCCAUCGGCACCA
rnacentral:tRNA from 2 species